GGGAAAUUCGAGAGCCGCGCAGCUUACACCCGCGGCGGGUGAAGGGAGCACUGUGACGAGAAACCGCUGAGCGUGACCGCCCUUCCCUCAAGGAGUUGGCUUUUAGCCUCACGGCCGGUUUCUGUUGGAAAAGCUGGCUGUGAGGCACCGUGCCCCAACCUCCCAGCACCUUCCUUGAUGCUCACUCCUGCUCAGCCCCUCAGUUAAGGUGCUGCACUACACCUGGUCCACAGGGGGCCUCGGCCGGAACUCGCUUUCAGGUGGAAGUCAUCGCUGGCCAGGCACACACUGCACCCACACAGAACCCAGUUCUUCAGUGGAGUAUCAGGACACCACAUAGCCCUUAAUUUUCAACUAUACAGGUGCCAGGCUCCUGCUGCACACUCAUCCACCUGCACCUACACCCACACUGAACCAGAGCACUAAAAUACAAGGAAACUUUUAUUUUCAAUUUUCAUCAAGAAAUUUGCUGUGGUUUUUUAUGCUUUUGGUUUUUUUUUUUUUUUUUUUUUCCACUUUAUUUCAUUUAGCCGCUCAGUGGCUAGAGCCGCUGGGUUCCUGGUAUUAAAAAGAUGCCAACAGAGGUAGCUGUGUCUCGCCCAGGGGCCCAGCCCACUCUGAAUACCCCCAAAAAAGGAGAAAAGAAAACACAAAAUAAACC